rnacentral:tRNA from 1 species
GCCGGGGUAGCUCAGCUGGUUAGAGCGCUGGAUUGUGGAUCCAGAGGUCGACGGUUCAAACCCGUCCCCCGGUACCA